GUAAAGCUGGUGGUUCUGCAGCUGUUCGAGUUAUGGGUGGUUUUUUGUGUUUCUUGUGGUAGCUUAAGUGAUAGUUGCUGAACCUGCUCUUGUUGGUGGUGGAUCUAUUGAUACUGGAAGUGAUAGUGGUGCCGAGCUAUCAAAGUGCCAAGCAAUCUCAUGAAGCUCCCAUUUAUGGUGCUUUGGAUACCAUGUAUCUAAGUUACUCAGAUGAAAAAGAUCUUGGGUUUCUUAAUGUAGUGUAUGGAAGGUCUUCAGGAAAAACAAAAGUUGCUGUUUCAUUUUUUUGUGAUUUUAUCUCAGAGUCCUUCUCACUGUCAAAGACGUAUACUGCUUCUGCAUCCUUGUGGGUGGUUUCUUAUUCUCCUUUUCUAUUGGGGCACCAAUAACCUGGAUUCUCCACUUUUUUACAAGACGUCGAAUCUGUUGCCUGAAUACUAUAACCAAGGGGACUCUCAAGGCCGUAAAGAUGAUAUAUUUUUAUUGAAGGGGCUUGGAUAAAAACAAGUGAUAACAUCAAUCUUAGUUGCAUUCAAGCAAAGGAUCACACGACUGGAAGAGAUGGAAUUUCAUAUUAUGUAAGUGUUGCUGAGGUAGCUCAAGUUAGAGUAACAUCUGAAGAGUUUACUUUCUGUGUGGAUGACCUAGCUGUUGGUGCUGAGCUUGAUCUUCUUAUACAUUAUCGUGAUGUUCUAGGAAACCUAUUUCAUGAAGCUUAUGAUGCGGUUCAAAUUGAUGCUGAUACUAACUAUCCCGGAGAAAUAGGAAAGGACAAACUCAUGAAGAUAUGCGAUGUAUUUGGAGCAAACCGUCCCCUUGAACAUUGGACCUCCAGAACCUCGGCAGAAAAAUCUAAGGAUAGUAACAACAUUCCUCUGCACGAGAACGGUAAACUCUCCGAAAAAGAUUCAGGUUCAAUUUUGAAUGGCUCUAUCAAUCGGGAAAAACAUAAGAGUAACCCAGCCAAAAGGAAAAUGGGGUUGUUCACGAGGAUCAUUCCAAGAACACCCAAAAUGGGACUCAUACAUCACACUGAAUAGUCACAGAGCUGGUGAGGCAGCCAUUUUAUAUGAGAACGGGGAAGAUAUUGAGGCACUGAUGCCAAAACUCCGCCACUCUGACUACUACACGGAGCCUCGAAUUCAAGAACUAGCUGCCAAGGAGAGGGCAGAGCCAGGGUUCUGCCGCAGGGUGAACAGGUGCAGAGAUUUAAGAUCUCAAAGCAGGGUAUGCUAAAAUUUUCCCAUGAUCUCUUUGGAGAGUAGCUUUUAGCAUUGAAUCAACGCAGUGAAUGAUUUUUCUAGUUGAUUAACUGCCUCAAACUACACUCAGGUUGCUCAAUUUUGUUAAGUAUUACAUUCUGCAAUAUAUGAAUUGUUCUUAAACAAUUGUGAUAAU